GUUUUUUUUGGUUGGGACAUCCGUUAAAAUUGAAACCAUAACAGAAAGAAGAUUAGUAUGGCUCGUGCACAAGAAUGACAGCCAUAAAUAGAGAGAGAGUUUUUUU